rnacentral:rRNA from 1 species
GACGAACGCUGGCGGCGUGCUUAACACAUGCAAGUCGAACGGAAAGGCCCUGCUUUUGUGGGGUGCUCGAGUGGCGAACGGGUGAGUAACACGUGAGUAACCUGCCCUUGACUUUGGGAUAACUUCAGGAAACUGGGCUAAUACCGGAUCGGAGCUCCUGCUGCAUGGUGGGGGUUGGAAAGUUUCGGCGGUUGGGGAUGGACUCGCGGCUUAUCAGCUUGUUGGUGGGGUAGUGGCUUACCAAGGCUUUGACGGGUAGCCGGCCUGAGAGGGUGACCGGCCACAUUGGGACUGAGAUACGGCCCAGACUCCUACGGGAGGCAGCAGUGGGGAAUAUUGCACAAUGGGCGGAAGACUGAUGCAGCAACGCCGCGUGCGGGAUGACGGCCUUCGGGUUGUAAACCGCUUUCGCCUGUGACGAAGCGUGAGUGACGGUAAUGGGUAAAGAAGCACCGGCUAACUACGUG